rnacentral:rRNA from 1 species
AUUUAAAAUUAUUUUAAAAUUUUUAGUAAAAAAUUAAUUUUAAAUAAAGAUAUAGAAAUUUAAAAUUUUUAGUAUAAAUUAGAAAAAAUAAAUUAUAAGUAUUUAAUUGUAAAAGAAAUUUAAAAUUUAAUAAAGAUGAUUUAGAUUAUUGUACCUUUUGUAUCAGGGGUUAUUAAAAUAAAGUAUUAAAAUUAAUAUAUCUCGAAUUAAAAAGAGUUAAUUUAAAAUUAUAGUUAAUGUUGAAAAAUUAUUAUAAAUUUUAAGUUUGAAGUGAAAUGUUAUUCGAUUUUUAAGAUAUCUAGUUUUUUAAUAAUAAAAUUUAAUUUUUUUAUAAAUUUAAUUAUUAAUUAUUAAAAAUUUUUAAUUAUUUUAUAAUGAAGGAUUAAUGGGAUUAACUAUUAAUUUAAAUUAAAUAAUUUUUAGUUAGUUAAAAUUUAGAGAUUAAAAUUUUUAAAAUUUAAGAGUUUAUAGUAAUUUAUUAAUUUAGUAAAAUUUAAUUUUUAAAUUUAUUAAUUUAUUAUUAAAAUAAAUUUAUGAAUUUAAACUGAGUAGAAAUAAUGAUAAUAUUAGUAUAAAAGUAUGUUAAGUUAAUUAAAUUAUUAAAUUAAUUUAAGGAAUUAGGCAAAAUUUAAAAUUCACUUGUUUAUCAAAAACAUGUUUUUUUGAUUAUUAAUAAAAAAUUUUCUCUGCCCAAUGAUUAAUUGAAUGGCCGCAGUAUUUUGACUGUGCAAAGGUAGCAUAAUAAAUAGUUUUUUAAUUGAAGACUAGAAUGAAUGAGAGGAUGAAAUUUUAACUGUCUCAAUUUAAAAAUAAAAUUUUAUUUUAAGUUAAAAUUCUUAAAUAAGUUUAAGGGACGAGAAGACCCUAUAGAAUUUUAAAAUUUGUAUUAAUUUAUAUUUUAAUAUUUUAUUUAAUUUAAUUAAAGAUUUUUUUAUUGGGAUGAUAUUAAAAUUUAAAAAACUUUUAAUUAUUUAAUUCAAUAAUUAAUGAAUUAAGGGAAAUUUUAAUUAAUAAAAGAUAAAAUUACCUUAGGGAUAACAGCGUAAUAAAUUUUUAAAGUUCAAAUUAAAAAAUUUGAUUGCGACCUCGAUGUUGAAUUAAAAUAAAAUUUAAGUGAAGAAGCUUAAAAUUUAAGUCUGUUCGACUUUUAAAAUUUUACAUGAUUUG